GAAUUCAUGGAAUUCAGCCGGAGAUGGACAACGUUCGCGAAGUGUGGAGUGCCUCUUUCAGUAAACAAGUUUUCCGAAGAACUAACCUUGUUGAUCCCAGGCAAGCCCCGGUGCAUUUAUACCUAUCUAUUUUAGAGUCGUUAUUUCAUGUGACUAGUUAUAGGUUAUUUGUUUAUUGCAUGCACUAAGUCUAGGAGUUGGAUGAAACCUAUUCUUGUGUAUGAUCAUGCCUUGUUUUAAGGACAUCUUUGCCACUUGUUCAAACCUUAGAAGACAACCCAAGUCUAGAAAUGCUUA
rnacentral:lncRNA from 1 species